GUCGACAUGGCCGAGUGGUCUAAGGCGGUUGAUUCGAAAUCAGUUGGGGUUAACCCACGCAGGUUCGAAUCCUGCUGUCGACG
rfam:Nematocida sp. JTm2807 3, whole genome shotgun sequence.